rnacentral:rRNA from 1 species
UACUAGGUGAUGGCACGGCCAUGAGCCGUGUCAGUGCCGUAGGGAAACCGUUAAGUGUGCCGCCUGGGAAGUACGGUCGCAAGGCUAAAACUUAAAGGAAUUGGCGGGGGAGCACCACAAGGGGUGAAGCCUGCGGUUCAAUUGGACUCAACGCCGGAAAACUUACCAGGGGAGACAGCAGUAUGACGGUCAGGUUGACGACCUUACCUAACGAGCUGAGAGGAGGUGCAUGGCCGUCGCCAGUUCGUGCCGUGAGGUAUCCUGUNNNNNNNNNNUCCUUGCACACACCGCCCGUCGCUCCAUCCGAGUGUGCUAAAAAUGAGGUUUGGUCAAUUUGGUCAUAUCGAGUUUCUAGUAUGCGAGGAGGGAGAAGUCGUAACAAGGUAGCCGUAGGGGAACCUGCGGCUGGAUCACCUCCU